rnacentral:misc_RNA from 1 species
UCCGGUUUGACACCGGCAGUCUCCCUAGAGUGCCCGGCAUAACCCGCUGGUAACUAGGGACGAGGGUUGCGCUCGUUGCGGGACUUAACCCAACAUCUCGCGACACGAGCUGACGACAGCCAUGCUGCACCUGCACUAGCUCCCCUUUCAGGGUCAUUGCCGUUUCCGGUUCUUACAACUAGCAUGUCAAGCCUGGGUAAGGUUUUUCGCGUUGCGUCGAAUUAAACCACAUGCUCCACCGCUUGUGCGGGCCCCCGUCAAUUCCUUUGAGUUUCAGCCUUGCGGCCGUACUCCCCAGGCGGGGUACUUACUGCGUUAGCGACGGCACCGAAGGGGUCGCUCCCCCCGACGCCUAGUACCCAUCGUUUACGGCGUGGACUAC